ensembl:lncRNA
AUGUCCCCGAGGGGCGGGCAAACCCUGGCAGCACUUCCCGGCGCACCACCCCUUUUCCCUGGAACGGGACCCAGGAGAGCACGUAAAGUUCCCAUGCCCGCUCCUGGCUGCCCGAGCGACCCGACUGCUGCUGAGGGCCAGGGCCUGGGACACCAUCCACGUCAGAGCAAGAAGGACACAGCUGGCCGGAAGCGAGGGCAGGGCUGGGCUGGGGCGAGCGCCUCCCUUCAGCUGGAGCACCAAGCUCAUGCCCGGCCCGGACGGACGGAGUACCAACAUCACCGCUGGAGGACCCGCCUGGGGCCUGGGGCUCUGCUGGGCCCCUCCUCUCGGUCCCCGGUACUCCUGCACCCAGGGGAACGCCGCAUCUCCUGGGAAGCCCGCGACCUCCGUCCUCGGGACACGGGCUGGAAGGUACAACGUCUCCAGAACGUGAAAUCUUGCCAAAUUUCCAUCGGGAGGUCAGUUCUCAUAAAUACAGUAUCUGUGGGGAAGGAGGGAGAAGCGGCUGAUGUGGAAUCCCACCGUUUGCAAACAACGUCUGUUCCCAGGAAAGAUGCGUCCGUCGCUGUCCUACUCUUAGAAGACAGCGUCAGGCUUCUGGGCCUGGGAGACAGAAGGGGCCCGGCCCGAGGACCCCGGCGGGGGCGGGGAGUAACCACCGCUGGGAACAGGGUACCCUCCUGCCUCUACACACAUUCGCGUCCCUGGCUUUGCUCCUGGCACCAAGCCCACGUGAGCAAGACUCUUACAAAAGAGGAAAGUGAGGGCGCUCCCGUGGUGGCGCAGUGGUUAACAAAUCCGACUAGGAACCAUGAGGUUGCAGGUUCGAUCCCUGGCCUUGCUCAGUGGCUUAAGGUUCCGGCGUUGCCGUGAGCUGUGGUGUAGGUUCCAGACACAGCUCAGAUCCCACAUUGCUGUGGCUCUGGCAUAGGCCAGUGGCUACAGCUCUGAUUUGACCCCUAGCCUGGGAACCUCCAUAUGCCACAGGAGCGGCUCAAGAGAAGGCAAAAAGAUUAAAAAAAAACAACAAAACAAAACAAAAAAAAAAAAACCAAGAGGAAAGUGAGGCUCAUACAGUGCGGGAGGCUGGGCCCUGCGGCCCCCUCUGACCACCCCCACCCCCACCCUCGCCCCCGGAAGGGAGCGUGCAAGGGUUAGAGCCAUAAGGCUGGUCACGCAGAGCAGCGAAAGCCGCCCCAAUCGCGUCGUCAUUUUUUUUUCUCUCUUUAGGGCCACAUGUGCCGCACACGGAGCUUCCCAGCCUCAGGGCCGCAUCAGCGCUACAGCUGCGGGCCCACACCACAGCCACACCAGAGGGAACCGAGUCCGGCCAGAGGGCUCAGGGCCCGAGGGUUACGAUCUGAGUCAGCCCUGGAGCGGGCUCACGGGCGCGCUGGGAAACAGCGGGGCUGUCGGGCUCUCCGGUCAAGCGAUCGCACAGCUCUGGCCCCGAUUUCUCCGCUUCCACCCUGAGAGGCCUGGGCGUUCCGGCCACAGAGCCAGCUCUGACCUGCCAUUCCAGAGUCGCCUACAAGUCUUGGGGUUUUUUAGGCCAUUUCUUAGCAUCACAGGCCCCGCGGACCUUACGGGCAUUUUGCUGGGGUCUCAGUGAUACUCUCAUCGGAGGCUCAAGUUGCCUCUUAGUCUCUCCUCGUCUGAAGCGCCUGCUUCUCGGCUCCUUCCACCCGCUGAUGACAACUUGGGUCUUGAGCAUCCGAAGAACAAAGCUGCGCCUUCUGCCCUGAGACAAGCGGCAUCGGUCAGGACGGGCCAGGUGGUGCUGCAGUAAGAAACGGGGCCAGCAGAGCGGCCUUUCUCGCCUACACCACGAGUCCCGCGCGGGCUGCGUGGCUGCGCUCUGCCGUCAGAACCA